GGGUUCGAUCAUGGCUCAGGAUGAACGCUGGCGGCGUGCUUAACACAUGCAAGUCGAACGAACCUUCGGGUUAGUGGCGGACGGGUGAGUAACGCGUGAGAAUCUGCCCUCAGGAGGGGGAUAACGGUUGGAAACGACCGCUAAUACCCCAUAUGCCGCGAGGUGAAAUGAAUUUCGCCUGAGGAUGAGCUCGCGUCUGAUUAGUUAGUUGGUGGGGUAAAGGCCUACCAAGACAUCGAUCAGUAGCUGGUCUGAGAGGAUGAUCAGCCACACUGGGACUGAGACACGGCCCAGACUCCUACGGGAGGCAGCAGUGGGGAAUUUUCCGCAAUGGGCGAAAGCCUGACGGAGCAACGCCGCGUGAGGGAUGAAGGCCUCUGGGCUGUAAACCUCUUUUAUCAAGGAAGAAGAUCUGACGGUACUUGAUGAAUAAGCCACGGCUAAUUCCGUGC
rnacentral:rRNA from 1 species